rnacentral:rRNA from 1 species
AUACGGGGGGUGCAAGCGUUAUUCGGAUUUAUUGGGCGUAAAGAGCGCGUAGGCGGCUUGGUAAGUCAGAUGUGAAAGCCCGGGGCUCAACCCCGGAAGUGCAUUUGAAACUAUCAGGCUUGAGUAUGGGAGAGGGAAGUGGAAUUCCUGGUGUAGAGGUGAAAUUCGUAGAUAUCAGGAGGAACACCGGUGGCGAAGGCGACUUCCUGGACCAAUACUGACGCUGAGGCGCGAAGGCGUGGGGAGCAAACAGGAUUAGAAACCCCGGUAGUCC